UACGUAGGGUGCAAGCGUUAAUCGGAAUUACUGGGCGUAAAGCGUGCGCAGGCGGUUAUGUAAGACAGGUGUGAAAUCCCCGGGCUUAACCUGGGAACUGCAUUUGUGACUGCAUAGCUAGAGUACGGUAGAGGGGGAUGGAAUUCCGCGUGUAGCAGUGAAAUGCGUAGAUAUAUGGAAGAACACCAAUAACGGCGAAGGCAGUUAACUAUUCUGUUACUGACAUUGAGGCACGAAAGCGUGGGGAGCAAAACGG
rnacentral:rRNA from 1 species